rnacentral:misc_RNA from 1 species
UUUUUUUGCUCAGGGGGAUAGGAUAAUGAGUUUUGUUUUAGAAAUAUAAUUUAGAGGAGUCGCAGUUUGCUAUCUUGUGUUUAACUUGAUUAUAAUGAAAUUUCAUAUCUUGUGAGUGGACCUUCCUAGUGUCCAUAUUUCUGUUACAUUGUAUAGGUUUUAAUAUAUUUGCAAUGGCUUGACGUACUAAUAUGUAAUCGUUCAUUCAUUUGUUUUCCCUUAUUUGUUUUAUUCACAGAUAAAUUUCUAUAAGGCCAACCAUAAAAAAUAGCAUUUUGUUUUUGUUUUGUUUGCUGUGUUAAGAUGCACAUCUUUCUUCAAUG